GAUUUCUGCAGCAUCAGGUCAGAAAGCAGCAGUCAAAGCUCCACCACCAAUCAUGGAGUCAACCAGGCAGACAGUCAAGUUUACAGCUCUCUGCUGCACCGUGAUACUUCUGAGUAUGAGUCAAUCCAACGAGCCACAAACAAAGG